rnacentral:lncRNA from 1 species
UUUUAUUAAAAUCGAUCCGAGACAUCAUCGUCAUCCUCAUUGUCAGAUCCUUGCCAACGAUGCUUUUAAGGUUAAGAUCUCCACAUCUUUCUCAUUAUUGCUUUCUUCCAACAUCCUGACGCUCCUCACAAGAUUCUGAAAAUCCACACCGUUCCUCCUCAGUAAGGCUCUCAAGGUCAAGAUCUCCUCAGCUUUCUCCUUAUUACUCUCUUCAAGCUCCUCGACCCUCCGCGCAAGAUUCUGAAAGUCCAACCCAUAUUUAUUUAGUUAAACGUAGAUAUAUUUGGACUAUAUUUUUCAAAAAAAAAAAAAAUCAGCAGCGGUGUCACAAGGCUCUCUUUACCUUCCCAUCUUAGUCCUAUCUAAUCUAAAUGGUGCUGCCAAACCUAGAUCCACCCAUACCAAGCAUAUAUAUCAGAGAGAGAGAGAGAGAGAGAGAGAGAGAGAGAGG